rnacentral:rRNA from 1 species
UACGAAGGGGGCUAGCGUUGCUCGGAAUCACUGGGCGUAAAGCGCACGUAGGCGGAUUGUUAAGUCAGGGGUGAAAUCCUGGAGCUCAACUCCAGAACUGCCUUUGAUACUGGCGAUCUUGAGUCCGGGAGAGGUGAGUGGAACUGCGAGUGUAGAGGUGAAAUUCGUAGAUAUUCGCAAGAACACCAGUGGCGAAGGCGGCUCACUGGCCCGGUACUGACGCUGAGGUGCGAAAGCGUGGGAG